AAAGUCGUAACAAGGUCUCCGUUGGUGAACCAGCGGAGGGAUCAUUACAGAGUUGCAAAACUCCCAAAACCAUCGCGAACCCUACCCUACACCGUUGCUUCGGCGGGCGGGCGCCCCGUGCGCCCCCCAGGCCCCCAGGCGCCCGCCGGAGGUACCUAACUCUUGAUUAUACGGCCUCUCUGAGUCUUCUGUACUGAAUAAGUCAAAACUUUCAACAACGGAUCUCUUGGUUCUG
rnacentral:misc_RNA from 1 species